rnacentral:sRNA from 3 species
UUCGUCUGCGCUUUAUGAGGAUGAGCACCUCCGCAGGAGGUUCGAGCCUCGCGAAGCGAGACAACGUUGCUUUAGCAACGGCCCGCAGGGCGCGCAUCAACGAUGCGCGUAAUCCUCUCUCGCCGACCA